AUGAGAAAAGUUACUUCAACUGUUGUUUCUCCUUUUGGGACUUGAAUUUUGAAGCAUUAUAUAGAGAUUUGUGAUUACUUAAGAAAAUGAUUGGUCGUCAAUUUCGUCCGCAGCCCUGCAAAGGAAUACUUUUGUUUGGUCCUGCUAGAACUGGGAAAACCAUGCUUUCAAAAGCCGUUGCCACUGAAGCGGGAGCAAAUUUUAUUAAUAUUUCAAUGUCAACUAUCGGUUCAAAGUGGGGUCAGAGUGAGAAAUGCAUAAAAGCUGUCUUCUCACUGGCUAGUAAAAUUGCUCCCAGCGUUAUUUUUGUAGAUGAGGGUUGAUAGUAUGCUGGGACGAAGGGAAAAUCCAGAACAUGAGUCAAUGCGCAAAUUGAAAAAUGAAUUCAUGCUGCAUUGGGAUGGGUUGCACACAAAGGAUACAGAACGAGUUCUGGUACUUGCAGCAACAAACAGGCCAUUUGACCUUGAUGAGGCUGUUAUAAGGCGACUGCCACGCAGGUAAAAGAGGAAUGACUUGAGUUUAUGAAAAGAAAAGGCAGUCUAGUGCAUGAAGCAUCCACAUUCUCGCACGGUCCGGAGAAGGUCGCAUUCCAAUGGGGUGUGAUGUAGGAAGCCUACACUGGCGCAAGCGUCAGUGACUGAUUUUACAACUCGGGAGAAACAUAAGUUUGAGGGCCAGUUCAGAUGGAACAGACCGCACCUAGUGCUAAUGGUGGACCACCUCCAGCACUAAGCAGCAGUGCAGACUUACGGCCACUGAAUAUGGACGACUUCAGAUAUUCUCAUCAGCAGGUUUGCCCAAGGUAUUUCAUCUGAAUCCGCAAAUAUGACAGAGCUUCUUCAGUGGAAUGAUCUGUAUGGAGAAGGGGGUUCUAAAAAGAAACAGUCCUUCAGUUAUAUCAUGUAAAGGGGGCUUUUGGGUUCAUUUGUACAAUGAGUUUAUAGGUCUCUUAGACAAUGAGUUUUGACAUGUUACAAUGGUGGUGUAGGCUUUCACAUACAAUUAGUUUAUAUGCUUUGACCUUUUGCUGAGUAUUUGCAGAGCGUGUCGAGUCCUGUCAGAAAAUUGACAAAGCUUCUAUAAUUUCCCAAAAUAUUUUUUUAGCUUAGAUGUCUACCUUACCCAAAUAUUUUAACUAGAGUAGAUGUCUGGGUUUAUUAUUUGAUACCUUGUAAAUAAUAAGUAUGCUAACUAGGCGUACAUUGAUUUGAACCUGAAAAUUACAUUUUGUUGCACGCAGAGUAUUGCAUUUAAGGGUCGUUUGAACAGUUGGGAUAAGUAAUGUUGAGAUUAUUUUUUAACCAUCGUUGGUUCGGUUUGGUGUAUUAAGGAUAGUUCUAUAUUUGAGAAAUGGUUAUCCUCAUCAGUUAUAUGCCUUGUAUAUUAUCUGAUGACAAAUUUUGGUUGCUAGCACACUAGUGUGCCUGUCAACAACGAAGGGAACGUCAAGAGUAAAGCUCCAAGGAGAAAAAUGUAGGGAAAUUGCGGUUGUAAAUUGCUACAAAAGAGACUGUAGGGAAGAAAAAAGCUGAAACUUUCAAGUGAUUUCUAUUUUUCUGGAUGGCUACAAAUGCACAAUGUGCCUCCUAUUUAUACAAGUCCAUGGAUAAUUCUAGAUAUCCUACAAAAUGUACUGGUACGUAGAACCAUU